rnacentral:rRNA from 1 species
GACGACGCGUGGCGGCGUGCUUAAAACAUGCAAGUCGAACGGACUUCUCAUGAAGCUUGCGAUUGAGAAGUUAGUGGCGGACGGGUGAGUAACGCGUGGGCAACCUGCCCCUGAGCCCGGGAUAACAGUUCGAAAGGACUGCUAAGACCGGAUAUACUUGCGGUGAAGCAUUUCACUGCAAGGAAAGGGAACGCUCAGGGAUGGGCCCGCGUCCCAUUAGCUAGUUGGUGAGGUAACGGCCCACCAAGGCGACGAUGGGUAGCCGGCCUGAGAGGGUGAACGGCCACACUGGGACUGAGACACGGCCCAGACUCCUACGGGAGGCAGCAGUUGGGAAUCUUCGGCAAUGGGCGCAAGCCUGACCGAGCAACGCCGCGUGAGUGAUGAAGGUUUUCGGAUUGUAAAGCUCUGUCUUCCGGGACGAUAAUGACGGUACCGGAGGAGGAAGCCACGGCUAACUACGUG